rnacentral:rRNA from 1 species
GACGAGCGCUGGCGGCGUGCCUAAUACAUGCAAGUUGAGCGAUGAAGAUUGGUGCUUGCACCAAUUUGAAGAGCAGCGAACGGGUGAGUAACGCGUGGGGAAUCUGCCUUUGAGCGGGGGACAACAUUUGGAAACGAAUGCUAAUACCGCAUAACAACUUUAAACAUAAGUUUUAAGUUUGAAAGAUGCAAUUGCAUCACUCAAAGAUGAUCCCGCGUUGUAUUAGCUAGUUGGUGAGGUAAAGGCUCGCCAAGGCGAUGAUACAUAGCCGACCUGAGAGGGUGAUCGGCCACAUUGGGACUGAGACACGGCCCAAACUCCUACGGGAGGCAGCAGUAGGGAAUCUUCGGCAAUGGACGAAAGUCUGACCGAGCAACGCCGCGUGAGUGAAGAAGGUUUUCGGAUCGUAAAACUCUGUUGGUAGAGAAGAACGUUGGUGAGAGUGGAAAGCUCAUCAAGUGACGGUAACUACCCAGAAAGGGACGGCUAACUACGUG